UUAUGAAUAAGGAUCGGCUAACUCCGUGCCAGCAGCCGCGGUAAUACGGAGGAUCCGAGCGUUAUCCGGAUUUAUUGGGUUUAAAGGGAGCGUAGAUGGAUGUUUAAGUCAGUUGUGAAAGUUUGCGGCUCAACCGUAAAAUUGCAGUUGAUACUGGAUAUCUUGAGUGCAGUUGAGGCAGGCGGAAUUCGUGGUGUAGCGGUGAAAUGCUUAGAUAUCACGAAGAACUCCGAUUGCGAAGGCAGCCUGCUAAGCUGCAACUGACAUUGAGGCUCGAAAGUGUGGGUAUCAAACAGGAUUAGAUACCCUGGUAGUCCACACGGUAAACGAUGAAUACUCGCUGUUUGCGAUAUACUGCAAGCGGCCAAGCGAAAGCGUUAAGUAUUCCACCUGGGGAGUACGCCGGCAACGGUGAAACUCAAAGGAAUUGACGGGGGCCCGCACAAGCGGAGGAACAUGUGGUUUAAUUCGAUGAUACGCGAGGAACCUUACCCGGGCUUAAAUUGCAGAUGAAUUACGGUGAAAGCCGUAAGCCGCAAGGCAUCUGUGAAGGUGCUGCAUGGUUGUCGUCAGCUCGUGCCGUGAGGUGUCGGCUUAAGUGCCAUAACGAGCGCAACCCUUGUUGUCAGUUACUAACAGGUUCCGCUGAGGACUCUGACAAGACUGCCAUCGUAAGAUGUGAGGAAGGUGGGGAUGACGUCAAAUCAGCACGGCCCUUACGUCCGGGGCUACACACGUGUUACAAUGGGGGGUACAGAGGGCCGCUACCACGCGAGUGGAUGCCAAUCCCCAAAACCUCUCUCAGUUCGGACUGGAGUCUGCAACCCGACUCCACGAAGCUGGAUUCGCUAGUAAUCGCGCAUCAGCCACGGCGCGGUGAAUACGUUCCCGGGCCUUGUACACACCGCCCGUCAAGCCAUGGGAGCCGGGGGUACCUGAAGUGCGUAACCGCGAGGAGCGCCCUAGGGUAAAACUGGUGACUGGGGCUAAGUCGUAACAAG
rnacentral:rRNA from 1 species